GCCCGCCCAGAGCCUGGGGGCGCCGGGCGGCGCUGCCCGCUGUCCGCUGCCCUGGGCGCUGGGCCUCCCGCGCGACCCGCGGCGAGGGUCAGGGCCGUUGAUGCCGGGCUCUGGAGCCUUGGCGGGAAACGGGGCACGGAGGGGGAUGGGCGGACAAAAGCAUGGGACGGGUAGGGCAUGGGGUGCGGGACACAAAAGAGAAUAUGACAUAAAGAGGGCUCGGGAAGGAAAUGGCAUAGAGGGGAAUGUGGCAUGUAGGGAGUAUGUGGGACGUGUUGCUUCUCUUUCCUCUCACCCCACCUCCACACUCUGAGGGGAGUCCAACCCAUGCAAUAGCAUUUCUAUUUCUAUUUCUAACCCUGUUAGUCUUAGUGAAAUUCCAAAUGUGUAAUUGAUAUUUUUGGUUUUUGGUUUCUGAAGUGGACCUGGAGUUUGAAACCUGAACUCUGCUGGUCUUUUCUGAAAUGUAUCUAACAAUGCAGGUUUUCUGGCUGUCCAAUCAAUACCCAUGUUCCCUUUCCAGUUUCCAGUGCUGCAUGGAGUUUUUGUUUUUGUCACCCCAGAUUUAUACUCCCAAAGGAGGCAGUGUGUGAAGUGGAUAGAUUAUUGCAGAAGUGACCACACUACCAAUAUUGUCAACAUUCCUGUACUAUGAAAUCUGGAACCAUGGAACCAGCAGAAGCAAUAAAAUAGGUAUG